GCCUCAGUGCUGUAGUGGUAGAGCACGCGUCCCCGGAUAGGUUGUAACGUGGGUUCGAUUCCCGCCUGAGGGCG